rnacentral:rRNA from 1 species
UACGUAGGUGGCGAGCGUUGUCCGGAUUUACUGGGCGUAAAGCGCGCGCAGGCGGCGGCUUAAGUCCUCUGUGAAAUCACCCGGCUCAACUGGGUGGCUGCGGAGGAGACUGGGUUGCUAGAGGGGCCUAGAGGCCGGUGGAACUCCCGGUGUAGUGGUGAAAUGCGUAGAGAUCGGGAAGAACACCAGUGGCGAAGGCGGCCGGCUGGGGGCGCCCUGACGCUGAGGCGCGAGAGCGUGGGGAGCAAACCGG